rnacentral:lncRNA from 1 species
AGUCUGUAGCUAAAUCUCAGGAACAGAAAUGUUGAGAAGGGUAGACUGAUGACUACCCCUCAGUGGAAACAGACCAGAUCUCAGCUUAUCUGGCUGGAAGGAAAGCAAAAAAACAAAGCAAAACCAACCAAAAAAUCCUAAGAAACAAAAGACAGAUUCAAGCCAAUCUGUGAUUUGUAAAAUAAGCCAGGUGCAGGCUUGUGUGCCUUCAGCUGAAUGUAAGAAGUCCAGCUAUCAUGAAGUCUCCAUGUGGACAGACAAUUCAGAGGAAUGAGAGAGAGAGAGACCUGAGCAGCUAGCAGUGCCAGCACCUAGAUGUUUGAAUCUUCCCAGCCCAGAUACAUGAUGGAAAAAACUUCAAGAUGCCCAUUGGACAGCAACCACAUGAAAGACCUGGAAUACUGGGCCACAUGGUGACUUGGAUUUUUAAGGGUUACACACAUGAGGCAACUACAAUCCAGAGGAAUUUGUGACUAUCCUCAGAGGCCACAGCCAUUGAUGCCUCUUUCACUCUGCCCAUUAUGUCCCACUGAACAGCUUGGGUGUCAGAGCCAGCCAUUUUGCUCUGUGAGGAAGUAAUUUUGCAGUUAAAUUGGACCUGGUUGCAUUUUCUAGUCUCUGCUUUCUCCAAAUAUCCCAGUACUUAGUUUUUGCUCUGGUUGAAAAAAAAAAAAAAAAAAAAAAAAAAAAAAAAAAAAAACCUACACUAAUGGAUUAAACAACCAUUUGGAAAAGACAGGAUUUUUUCUUAAACUUUUUUGAGGUAAUUUUGGAAAGGAUCAUUCAAAUUAACGUAUGUGAAGCACCUAACAUAACAGACCCUUGGUAAAUGGUAGCAAAGAAGAUUGUGAUCAUUAGGAGCUCCUGAGAGAGGGCAGGUGCCACAGGAAGGGAUUGGACCAGAUCAACAUUUCAGUGUCUUCUGAGGAUUAUAAUUUCUGGAAGUUGCUCCCAGAUGGGGGACAACUUUCAACCUACGGUCAAAUAAAUAUUGCUUAGAAACUCUCAA